GAUGAACGCUGGCGGCGUGCCUAAUACAUGCAAGUCGAGCGAACGGACGAGAAGCUUGCUUCUCUGAUGUUAGCGGCGGACGGGUGAGUAACACGUGGAUAACCUACCUAUAAGACUGGGAUAACUUCGGGAAACCGGAGCUAAUACCGGAUAAUAUUUUGAACCGCAUGGUUCAAAAGUGAAAGACGGUGUUGCUGUCACUUAUAGAUGGAUCCGCGCUGCAUUAGCUAGUUGGUAAGGUAACGGCUUACCAAGGCAACGAUGCAUAGCCGACCUGAGAGGGUGAUCGGCCACACUGGAACUGAGACACGGUCCAGACUCCUACGGGAGGCAGCAGUAGGGAAUCUUCCGCAAUGGGCGAAAGCCUGUCGGAGCAACGCCGCGUGAGUGAUGAAGGUCUUCGGAUCGUAAAACUCUGUUAUUAGGGAAGAACAUAUGUGUAAGUAACUGUGCACAUCUUGACGGUACCUAAUCAGAAAGCCACGGCUAACUACGUG
rnacentral:rRNA from 1 species